rnacentral:rRNA from 1 species
AGCCUGACGGAGCGACGCCGCGUGAGCGAAGAAGGCCUUCGGGUCGUAAAGCUCGAUAGUGUGGGAAGAAGGAAUGACGGUACCACACGAAAGCCCCGGCUAACUACGUGCCAGCAGCCGCGGUAAGACGUAGGGGGCGAGCGUUGUCCGGAGUUACUGGGCGUAAAGGGCGCGUAGGCGGUUUAGCAAGUCAGGUGUAAAAGGCCACGGCUCAACCGUGGAUAUGCAUCUGAAACUGCUAGGCUAGAGGGCAGGAGAGGGGAGUGGAAUUCCCGGUGUAGCGGUGAAAUGCGUAGAUAUCGGGAGGAAUACCAGUGGCGAAGGCGACUCCCUGGACUGGCCCUGACGCUGAGGCGCGAGAGCGUGGGGAGCGAACAGGAUUAGAUACCCUGGUAGUCCACGCUGUAAACGAUGGGUGCUAGGUGUGGGGAGCGGAAGCUUUCCGUGCCGUAGGAAACCCAAUAAGCACCCGCCUGGGGAGUACGGCCGCAAGGCUGAAACUCAAAGGAAUUGACGGGGGCCCGCACAAGCGGUGGAGCAUGUGGUUUAAUUCGAAGC